GCCCUGGUGGUGGAAUUGGUAGACACAAGGGAUUUAAAAUCCCUCGGCGUUCGCGCUGUGCAGGUUCAAGUCCGGCCCGGGGCACCA
rnacentral:tRNA from 1 species